UGUAGUUUCUGCAGGUGCUGACGUGGAUGUGGAAAUUUCAUCAUUUUUUUUCAUGAGUGCCUAACACAUAAUGAAAACUGUAUAAAAUUUGUCUUUAAUUAAUUAUAAUUGAUAAUAAUUACUUGUGCAAUAAUGGAUGCUACUUUUUCUUUAUCCACUGCUGGAUGAAUUCGCUUGUUUUUCAAAUGAUGUGGAGUAUCUCUACGAUGAAGUCUAUUUGGUCUAUUUGAAUCACCACUACCAUCAUAAUCUGUACCUUCAGCUAUAGAAAAUUCUACAUGUC